rnacentral:rRNA from 1 species
CACAUGCAAGUCGAGCGGAUGAAAGGAGCUUGCUCCUGGAUUCAGCGGCGGACGGGUGAGUAAUGCCUAGGAAUCUGCCUGGUAGUGGGGGACAACGUUUCGAAAGGAACGCUAAUACCGCAUACGUCCUACGGGAGAAAGCAGGGGACCUUCGGGCCUUGCGCUAUCAGAUGAGCCUAGGUCGGAUUAGCUAGUUGGUGAGGUAAUGGCUCACCAAGGCGACGAUCCGUAACUGGUCUGAGAGGAUGAUCAGUCACACUGGAACUGAGACACGGUCCAGACUCCUACGGGAGGCAGCAGUGGGGAAUAUUGGACAAUGGGCGAAAGCCUGAUCCAGCCAUGCCGCGUGUGUGAAGAAGGUCUUCGGAUUGUAAAGCACUUUAAGUUGGGAGGAAGGGUUGUAGAUUAAUACUCUGCAAUUUUGACGUUACCGACAGAAUAAGCACCGGCUAACUCUGUGCCAGCAGCCGCGGUAAUACAGAGGGUGCAAGCGUUAAUCGGAAUUACUGGGCGUAAAGCGCGCGUAGGUGGUUUGUUAAGUUGGAUGUGAAAUCCCCGGGCUCAACCUGGGAACUGCAUCCAAAACUGGCAAGCUAGAGUAUGGUAGAGGGUGGUGGAAUUUCCUGUGUAGCGGUGAAAUGCGUAGAUAUAGGAAGGAACACCAGUGGCGAAGGCGACCACCUGGACUGAUACUGACACUGA